rnacentral:rRNA from 1 species
GACGAACGCUGGCGGCGUGGAUUAGGCAUGCAAGUCGAACGGUAGGAUCCUUUCGGGGAUCUGAGAGUGGCGAACGGGUGAGUAACACGUAGGUGAUCUACCCUCAAGACGGGGACAACCCAGGGAAACUUGGGCUAAUACCGGAUGUGAGCUAUCGCGAGAUAGUUUGAAAGGUGGCUUCGGCUGCCGCUUGAGGAUGAGCCUGCGUCCUAUUAGCUAGUUGGUGAGGUAACGGCUCACCGAGGCAGUGAUAGGUAGGCGGCCUUAACGGGUGGUCGCCCACACUGGGAUUGAGAUACGGCCCAGACUCCUACGGGAGGCAGCAGUCGAGAAUAGUCUACAAUGGUCGAAAGACUGAUAGUGCGACGCCGCGUGAACGAAGAAGCCCUUCGGGGUGUAAAGUUCUUUUAUAUGUGAGCAGUGCUUCUUAUAUUAACAGUAUGGGGAGAGAGAUAUUAGCAUAUGAAUAAGCAACGGCUAACUCCGUGCCAGCACG